ACGAACGCUGGCGGCGUGCCUAAUACAUGCAAGUCGAACGCUUCUUUCCUCCCGAGUGCUUGCACUCAAUUGGAAAGAGGAGUGGCGGUCGGGUGAGUAACACGUGGGUAACCUACCCAUCAGAGGGGGAUAACACUUGGAAACAGGUGCUAAUACCGCAUAACAGUUUAUGCCGCAUGGCAUAAGAGUGAAAGGCGCUUUCGGGUGUCGCUGAUGGAUGGACCCGCGGUGCAUUAGCUAGUUGGUGAGGUAACGGCUCACCAAGGCCACGAUGCAUAGCCGACCUGAGAGGGUGAUCGGCCACACUGGGACUGAGACACGGCCCAGACUCCUACGGGAGGCAGCAGUAGGGAAUCUUCGGCAAUGGACGAAAGUCUGACCGAGCAACGCCGCGUGAGUGAAGAAGGUUUUCGGAUCGUAAAACUCUGUUGUUAGAGAAGAACAAGGACGUUAGUAACUGAACGUCCCCUGACGGUAUCUAACCAGAAAGCCACGGCUAACUACGUG
rnacentral:rRNA from 1 species